CAUCUUUCAUUUCAAUCAAUCAUCUCUAGUCCUAGUCCUAGUCUCAAUCUCGUAAUUUUUAUUUCACUUACUUCACACCAUGUUGCAAUGAUUGUAUUUUUCCCUUUGCUUUGAGAUUCUGAUGUAUAAUAAUUAUUUACGGCUGACGCUGAAUACAGGUUUUUAAUGGUGGUCAACUUGAGAUACCAGCUUUAAGGCACGCAGGCACGUAUAAAACCAUGGGGCACGAGGUCAAAAUAAAAUCAGUAGACUUUACACAAGACUGACCAAGUUUCUAACAUCCUUUGAAGCUACAGGAAAGGGAAGGAUGCCGCUACAGUCGAAGAGAAUCGGGCCUAUGGAGAUGUCAGCGAAGAUAUAAACACUUUUCAACAAUCACUAGGCCUAUACAUUGAGCCUACAGUUAUAAAUUUUUAAAUCUUGAAAGUGAUUUACUUUUGUUUAUAGAUUUGAUAUAUUAU